CGCGCCGUGGCUCACCGCUGACAUAAAUCACACGUCGGGAAGUGAGACAGUGGCAGCUGCUACACCUUGCAUGCGGAUUGCGUCUUUGACACUAAAGAAAAGGAUAGCAAAAGAACAAAGAGUUACAUUCUGGCCCAGGAAUCCAAAGAUGCUCGCAAGGACUCAGUUCCCCGAGGCAGCACCCAUGGGUGACAACUCAACUGCCGGGCUUAUUACGCCUGCUUGUCAAGCUUCAGCACUCAACCUCUUGCUCAAUAAGUGACAUGAUUUGAGCUGUCAGCAGCAAUGACCUGAGAGGAAGUUUUCUGUUCGGAUGCCGCUUGUGAAGGCAGAUCAAGGUGAUAAACCGGAUUUGAGCAGGUUUCACUGAUGUGACAGUAAAGAGAUUCGAGCGGCAGAUUAGGACGCCUGCGAGAUGAGCGGCGGCCUCAAUCGCAGCCCACAAAUCACGAUGGACGUCUCUCCGCAAGUUUUCCAACUUCUGUCUGCUUUGUCCCCAUACAGUCUGAGAGAAAGGGAAACAAUUACUCACAUUCUUUCUGUCGAAAGUGACUUUCUGCUGCACUAACUACCAACGGCAAUACGGAGAGUUAAGUAUUUGACCUUUAACAACACAAACGACCGCGUCAUGAGGAAGUCCGCCCCAGUCCGCUGCAGGAGACAACGCUUCCUCCAUUUUUUUCCCGUAACAAAUAGUGGUAAAAGAACAACUCUGUUCCAACACUUUCCAUUGUUUUUGUUACUUCCUGCUCUGAGUGUUGCUUCAAUUUAUGUUAGAUAAGUUUCCAAAUAUUCUUCCACUUAAACACCCUUUGUUGAGGCUGGGCAUUUGGAAUCUGCAGCAUAUAAAUGCGCAGCGCUAA